rnacentral:rRNA from 1 species
CCGGCGGAGAGGAAGUCAGCCCUGGAGACAGGAGAAGACUUCGAUCAUUGACAACUGAAUCGGCAGAAAUACAAGAAGAGGGCAACGCAGGACCGGGGAACCGGAGAAUGCGAGUCAACAAGCUUUUUGGAAGCAAGGGCGAAGAGUAAGACGUUCAAGUGACAAAGGGCAGACGGGGAAUGCCUAGGCAGCAGAAGGCGAAGAAGGACGUGGCGAGCUGCGAAAAGCUUCGGGGAGCCGCUCACAGGCGUUGAUCCGGAGAAAUCCGAAUGGGGAACCCCACUGGGGAACUGCCCCUAGUGAGCCUUGCCUGAAUUCAUAGGGCAAGGGCGGCAAACCCGGGGAAGUGAAACAUCUCAGUACCCGGAG